rnacentral:rRNA from 1 species
GAGAAUGUUGGCAUGAGUAGCGAGAUGUGGGUGGGAAUCCCACAGGCCGUAAACCCAAGGUUUCCAGGGGAAGGUUCGUCCACCCUGGGUUAGUCGGGACCUAAGCUGAGGCCGAAAGGCGUAGGUGAUGGACAACAGGUUGAUAUUCCUGUACUACCGAUAACCGUUUGAGAGAAGGGAUGACACAGUAGGAUAAGCUAAGCACACUG